GUGCGGAAGACUGAGCCUCUCCUUUGUGUAACAGGCAGCAAGGAAGGUUUUAACAGGACUGUGUGACCAGUCUAGAUGUAAAUUUCAGAGAUACAGGAGGACUAUGAGGAGGAAGAAAAGCAGGAGGGAACAAGUUGAGUCUUCUUCCUUCAUCCAGGAUUCCAAAACAGGGGGAUGUGGAGAAAGGACAAUGUAUGCGAAAGCCUGCAGACGUGCACACAGUAUGGAACACAGUUACAGAAAUAGAGUGUCUGAGGCUCGCUCGACCCGCUGCGCCUUGGGAGAGAAGAUGAACCCCAUAAGGGGAGCCGGGAGAGAAGAAACCAGAUGAAUAUUCAGGGGAAUCCCAUGGCCAGCUGUGAAGGCAGGAAGAGGAGAAUCAAGCAUGAAGCCAGCCUCCAGGGCAGCAGCUGAUGCUGAGCAAGUGGGUGAGGGAUCGACACAGCCGGCCGGCCGCUCACAUCCACCUAUCCAUCCAUCACUCACGUAUACACCCAUUUCUCCCAACUGCUCCUUCUCUUUAAGGAGUUCUCUUUAUAUUAUUUUAAUUUUUAAGACUGGGUCUCUCUAUGUAGCCUUGGCUCUCCUGGCAGUCUCCAUGCAGAGCAGGCUGGCCUCGAACUCACAGAGAUCUGCCUGCCUUUGCCAACCAAGUGCUGGGGUUAAUGGUGUGUGCCACCAUACCCAGACCAAAGAUUUAUUUUCCCUGCCCCCACACUCCCCGGCUCUGAGGGUCUUACACUUGUUAGGCAAUCAAUCAGUCUAUCACUGAGCUAAAGCCCCAACCCCAAGAUUUCUGUUUUUAUUAAAAAAAUAUUAAUUUUA
rnacentral:lncRNA from 1 species